CGAUUUUGAUGUGAAACAUCUAUAGGCGCACCCCUAAACUGAAUCGUUGGCCUGGCGAUACUUGCCGUGGCGAGCAUUCGCCAGGCUAUACUAAGUGAUAACUCAGAAGAUCAAAGUGAUCAACCUUGUGCAAAGAAAGUGAAACUACACUAUGGUAUACUACCAAGUCAUCAUUCCCAACAAUCAUCAGAAGGAUCACAAAAUAUUAUUAUUGAAACUGGACGUCACCCUGAUCAGUUAAACACAAGGCAUACUAUCAAUGUUGUGUCAGACUUUAUUAAUCGAAUAGUACCAGACUAUUUUAAACUAUUGCAUCUAUUGGAAAUGUGUGUUCUUCACAUGUUAAACUACAAGACGGAAGUGAAUUAAUUAUGAUUGUAAUAUACAUUUCACCUAAUAACAAAAUGGAUCAUCUCAUUUCAUUUUUACAUGAAAGGUUAUUUCCUUAUAGUCAAACAGGUUCAAUAAUUCUUAAAGCGAAUAAACAUAAACUACCAUUAUUUUUAGCUGCAUAUUUCAGUGUAAAUUUUGCAAGAGCUGAAUCAAUGCCAUUAAUGACAUUUCUUCAAAAAGAAUUUCAAUGGCAAAUCAAUAACGAUCCAAAAGAAUCUACUACCAAAUAUGGAACAACAAUAGAUGCUGUAUUUGUGAGAUAUCUUGAUGGUGUUUCAUCCAAUACUUUUGUAACGUACUUUAGUUAUCAUCGACCAAUCGUCACAGUAAUACCGGCAGAGGAAAAAUCGAAUAUAACUAUUAUUGAAGCCACAGAUGAAAAUAUUUAAAUUGUGGCAACUUGAUACUAAUAUCGAAUUUUUAUAUCAUGUAAAUAAAUGUUUAUUAAAUAAAGUUACCAUUUACUGUAAGAAUCUCGUAAUACUUCAUUUUUUCAUUAGGCUAUAUUUAAUUCCUGUAAUAAUAUUAUCUUUUAUGCAUAUUACUUGUACACACACGAUGUUUCACAUCUGCCAGGCGUCCCAUGACGGCUCAU